AAUACACUUGACUUUGAUCGGUAUCUGAAUUGCGGAAUCUCGCAGAGAGCAAAACCCCUCUUUGUUCAUCGCCCAAAUCCCCCAAUUCAAUCCAAAUCAAUUUCUUCUGUAAGUUCGCCUUCCGAUUCUCGGCAUACACCUUUGCUCUCCGCAGAGAAUUUAUUGCAGGAAAAGUAUGGAUGGCAACAAAGAUGAAGCAUUGAAGUGUUUGAACAUCGCCAAGAACUCAAUUCAAUCCGGCGACAGAGAUCGCGCCCUAAAAUUCCUCAAUAAAGCCCGUAGGCUUGAUCCGUCUAUCCAAAUCGACGAAUUUCUCUCCAAUCUCAGCGAUUCACCGCCGGAGGACAAAAGCCCUAAGUCACCCACCGACGAAAGCCCUCCUGAUCCAUCGAAAACUGGCCCCCGCCGUAGGGCUCCGGCCGCCGCCCGAUCGACGUCGUCUUCUUCCACCGCAUCGGCGACAUAUACUGAGGAGCAGGUGACAAUUGUCAGAGAUAUUAAGAGGAAGAAGGAUUACUACGAGAUUUUAGGAGUGGAGAAAAGUUGCUCAGGUGAGGAUGUUCGGAAGGCGUAUAGGAAGCUCUCUUUGAAGGUCCAUCCUGAUAAGAACACAGCGCCAGGGGCGGAGGAGGCGUUCAAGAUGGUUUCCAAGGCAUUUCAGUGCUUGAGCGAUGAGGAGAGCCGUAAGAAAUACGACGUCGUGGGGUCGGAUGAGCCGGUAUACGAGAGGAGAGGCGGAGGCGGUGGUCAUGGAAUGCGUGGUUUUAACGGAUUUUAUGAAGCCGACGUUGAUGCGGAUGAGAUUUUUAGGAAUUUCUUCUUUGGGGGAAUGCAUCCUGCAACGACUGGGAAUUUUGGGGGAUUUGCGUUCGGACCAGGUGUGAGAGUGAGAACUGGUGGAGCUGGAGUUGGAGUUGAUCAUAGCCCUAAUUGGGUGAGGACUGUGGUGCAGUUGCUGCCGGUGAUACUCAUCUUGUUAGUGAACUUCAUGCCCUCUUCGGAGCCAGCUUACUCCCUCUCUCGGACUAACUACCAUGAUGUUAGGUUCACUACACCGAAGGGGGUGAACUAUUUUGCCAACUCUGGGAAAUUCGAGCAGCAGUAUCCGGCUAAUAGUCACGAACGCGUUGCAAUUGAGCAACGUGUUGAGGACGAUUACCAUAAUUCCUUAGUGCAUAACUGCAGGGUUGAGUGGCAGCAGCUUCAUUGGGGAUAUAGGCGGGAGACGCCAAAUUGUGAUGCAUUGAGGCGCUUUGAGGCUUUGGCUCAGUGAAGCAUUGAGGCGGAUGUCGCCAUGGUGACAUGAUUAAAGGUUUAUUUAUUUGUGAUUUGGUCCGAUAUUCUUUUCAUGUUUUGUUUGCUGCUAUGGUCGGAUAUGUUAUCCUAUUUGAAUUAGUCGCCGAUGGUUUUUUUUUCUUGUUUCUAUUGAUAACGGUUUCUGGUGAUGGAAUCUUGAGAUGUGUGAGGCUGCAAUAUGUCUGGGAGUGACCAACUUGAUUAGUGACUUUUGUCGUUGGGAGUGGGAUGAAUAGAUGCAUGUUUAUUCAUAUAGGAAACUGCUUGUAUGUACCAUUAAAACGACUAGGGAUGUUGACAAUGAGAGCAAAUUUCAGUUUCCUUGAGAAUAAAGCUGAUGGUUUUGUCAAGCUUGAGAAGAUGUACUAGUCAAAUUUAAUUGCUUAGUAUAGUAGUCAGUUAUUGGUUAUUGUUUUAUGUGUAACACAUACUAGUGUAGGAAGUACCCGAGUGCGCUAUCUUGAGUAUUUGUUUUGAAUAUUUAUGUCUGAUAUAUAAGAUUAUAUCUUUCUCAAAGUAGUAGUUUGUUUGAAAAUGCUUACUACUUUCAACGUCCUCAAUUACAGAUUUGAGCUUAUGUCUGCUCUCCUAACAAUUGAAUAACCUCAAAUAUUAUGGUGAAUAUGAACUCAUCAGGUCUGGAUGAUCCUAUGCUCACUUUAGCCAGAAGUAGACGUUGGGUGUGAAAUUGAGCCCUUAUUUUAUCAAUACAUUUAAGGAAGUAGGAACUUGUGUAGUAAAUGAGUAGCAGUUUCAAAGGUUCUGUUGUCUAAGGAUCAGCAUAACUGUUUCAGUUAGUUGAAUGUAGUUGCUGUAUAACUCUAUUGGUUUGUCGUUUUUUUUAAAUUCUUUCUAAACAUAUCACGAUAUGGCGGUAUAGAGUUUCUUUUGUGAUCUCUGUUGGACUGAUUUAUACUCAUGAAUGCAAUAUUCUAUUUUCCUUUUUUGGGGUUUGAAUGCAAUAUUAUAGUUUCGAUGAAUUCAUAUGCAAGACUAGUUGAUAGAUAUGCCCAUUUUAAUUUAAGCAACCUGCCUAAUAUUUUUUUCCAAACAAUUUUGUCUAAUUAAUUUACUGAUGCAGUUUACAAAUCUACUCAAAGCUAAGACAUGCCAGGGAAUUAGUUGAGUGCUGUAAUCUGAGUAGUGUGUCUGUACCUAGUCAACUAAAGUCCUGUCCAUAGGGGAAAACAGAGGCAGAUUGCUCUGCACAGGGAAUUACUUUCUUCACCCCGACCAACAGAUUGAUGCGAUCUUUUCGGGAGCUUGUGUCUGGCUUCAAUGUGUGUGUGCUCCAUCUCUAUUAGAGAGAUUGGAAAGAGGGAAUGAGACAACUCAAUGAUAUGUAUGGACAUCUUAUAUCUUAUUCGAGUCUCAUGUCGUCUAAAUCAUUAAUCAAUUCUGAAUGGUGUGCAUAUAAUGAAGCAUGCAGUUGAAAUGGUGUGCUCGUGUUGUCUUUCUGAAUAAUUCCAUCACAUGAUUAACCAGAAUCGGUAUGAUUUGCGUGUACUCGUGAUUAAUUAGUGGAACCAGAGAAUCAGAAGUUUGCAGUGGCAAACAGAGAUUCAUAUGAAGCCUUUAUUCUACAUAACAGAGGAGGAUGGUCCAACUCCAACACCAUAUAUUUUUUUGUCAUUCGACAUUUUAAUCAUACUAUAUUAUACCAAAUGUCUAUUCAACUUUUGUGUAGUUGCUACCUGUUAGUAUUAUAUUCCUGCUUUCA